rnacentral:lncRNA from 1 species
GAUAUUCUUUUUUAACUAGAUUUUUAUUGUACCUAAUAUCUGAAUGUUAUUGAUAUAAAUUAUAGAAGGUUAAGUGAGAGUUUAAGUUGUGUUUAUAAGUGUCUUUCAGAAUCAAGUACAUACUUAAAUUCAUUUUUUUAUAGUCCUCCUUGGAUUAUUUCUUCCAUAAAAAUUUGGGAAUUAUAGCAAUCUUAGGAUUUCUCAUUUGUUCAUAUCAUUUCACUGGUCCAACUUUUUUUAUUUGUUAUGAAAAUAAAUGUCCAGGUGUAUUUAAAAUAUCAAUAGAAAAAUUUGAGGAACUCAUUUAAAAAUAGAUUAACUUUGUUAGAAGUUAUUCUUUUUUUCUUGUCUCUCUUUUUUUUUAAUUUGUUCUAAUUAGUUUUACAUGACAAUAGAAUACACUUUGACAUAUCUGAUAUAAAUGGAGUAUAAUUUCUUAUCCUUCUGGUUGUACAUAAUGUAGAAUCACACCAGUCACGUAGCCAUAUAUGUACAUAGGGUAAUAAUGUCUGAUUCAUUCUACUAUCCUUCCUCCCCCCAUAAGAAGUUAUUCUUUUGAGCAAAACAAAAGCAGUUACUUUAAUAUGGUUGUACAGAAAAUAAAUUACAUAAAUAAAUAUUGAUUUUUAUUAUAGUCCUAAAAGAGUUUGACUGUGGUGAUGGUGAAGAGCUUUGUAAAUUUAUAAAGUUAUCAAUCCAUACAUUCAUAACAGAUGAAUAUCCUGUAUAUUAUACCUCAAUAAAAACUUUAAAUAUAGUUAGAUGAACAUCAUUCCAAGUAUGUUUUCCUCUGCAUGUAUAAAAUGUAAACAAUAGAUAUCCUUUUAAAAUGUACUUACAUGAAUGCUGUUUUUAGAUUUAAAAAAAAACUGGCUUGACUUUAACAGAAGAAAAGGAAAUUGAAGUGAAACUGGAGGAAUUUUAAACUUCAAAUCUUUCAUUUUGAGAUAUAUUACUUUUUAAAGGAACUCUCCCAGAUUAUGAAAUAAAAACAAAGGAAAAAUUUGAGCAAUCCUAGUCAUUGUGCUUUAAAACCUCAGGGUUCAAAUGGACUUCCUGGUAUAAAAUCAUAAAUGCUACCACUCAUACUUCCUUUAAUAUUACAACCCCUU